AUACCGCAUAUGUUCGCUCAUUCGGUUGGGCGAGUAAAGCAGCGAUGCGCUUAGGGAUGGGCCUGCGGCGGAUUAGGUAGUUGGUGGGGUAACGGCCUACCAAGCCGAUGAUCCGUAGGGGGCGUGAGAGCGUGGCCCCCCACACUGGCACUGAGACACGGGCCAGACUCCUACGGGAGGCAGCAGUGAGGAAUAUUGCACAAUGGGCGCAAGCCUGAUGCAGCAACGCCGCGUGAGGGACGAAGGCCUUCGGGUUGUAAACCUCUUUUCUGAGGGACGAGGAAGGACGGUACCUCAGGAAUAAGUCUCGGCUAACUACGUGCCAGCAGCCGCGGUAAAACGUAGGAGGCGAGCGUUAUCCGGAUUUACUGGGCGUAAAGCGCGCGCAGGUGGCUUCGUGAGUCGGACAUGAAAGCUCCUGGCUUAACUGGGAGAGGCUGUUCGAUACUGCGGGGCUUGAGGUUGGGAGAGGGACGCGGAAUUCCCGGUGUAGUGGUGGAAUGCGUAGAUAUCGGGAGGAACACCAGUGGCGCAAGCGGCGUCCUGGCCCACACCUGACGCUGAGGUGCGAAAGCGUGGGUAGCAAACAGGAUUAGAUACCCUGGUAGUCCACGCUGUAAACGAUGUCAACUGGGUGUCGGUAGUUUUACACUAUCGGUGCCGAAGCUAACGCG
rnacentral:rRNA from 1 species